AACUGAAUUCUUGGUUUAUGAGAAAUUUAUGGGUAACAUUUUAUUUAUAUUUAAUAAAAUAAUAAAAUAAUAAAAUAAAAAUAAAACAAAUCCCAUUAAUAUUUGAAUAUGGUGCAUCGGGUGAAAAGGAGAAAAAAGGAUUAAAAUUUGGACUGGGCAUAGGGUUUUCAACUUCGUCAAGGAAGCCACCACUGCAUUCAGAGCAGACUAUUUCAGAAGAGGGGUCUAGGUUUACUGUGCGAUUGCAUUGAUGGCAAAAAUAAAGUUGGGGUGCAUUGGCACCACCACCACCUGCAGAGAAGCCGCCUGACCAUGACAUGAAGGAUGGAAUGGGGAAAAGACCAGGCAGACCGAAUGUAGAGGUUUUACGCCUUCUAACCCAAUAUCCUUUGAUCUUUCUUUGAAAGUAUCAGAUGCCUUUUGUUUGAUUUGUAUGUGAGCCAAACCAACCUUUCUUCACCUGCAAAAUAGUUGGUCUCAAGAAAAUCAUAGCCUACGACCCAUUCUCCUUCGUCCUCUUCGAAGUCAUCCGACUCGAGCCCCUUUCGUUCUCUUCACAGCGCAGUGCGCCCACUUGUUGAUCCCUCUGAACAAGUGUCGCCAAGCUGAGGUCUUCCUCCCAUGGAAGUGCGAGAACGAGAGACACACAUAUGAGAAGUGUGAGUACAAACUCGUUAUGGAGAGAAUGCUUCAGAUGCAGAAGAUCCGAGAAAAGGAAGCCCAAUUGAAUCAGGGACAAAAGCAGGACAUUGCUCUUAUUCCCAACACUGCUAAGGCUUAGCCCAACAAUCACGGCACCGAUUAAACCCGAGACAUCAUAGAUUUAUUACCAUCCACUGAAUUCCCAAACAGGUACAAGGGGUUUUGGUUUCGAGAAGGACUAAAAGACGAAUGAACACCUGUUCCAUUGGAGAACUCAAAUCCACCAUUGAUCUGAUUAAAAUGGGUGGUUACGAAGUCGCCCCAAUCAUCGUUGGUGAAUAAAUCAGUGGAGGAGCUGGUCUUCAGAUUGGUGGAAAUAGAGGAGGCGGUAUGAAUAGGAGUCAUUGGAGCGAAUUUGAAGUCCCCAAAGCCCUCAUCGUCGUCAUCGUCUGCCAUAGGUGAGGGCUCUGGUUCCGGUCUCCGUUUUCUCCCAGGUACGCCUCUGUUUUGUGCUUUGGUUUAUUAUAAUUUGCAGAUUCGGGUUGUGCAAUUUUGGACUCAAAUCAACUUCAGUUCGGUUCCUUUGAUUGGGUCGAAUAGAAAAGUAGGGGACUUCAAGCAAUAUAUACCAGGUAAAAGCAGUGAAGCGAUAUUUGGUGAGGCUUUUGAGAAACAAGGAGGGCUUGAUCUCACUGGUGUUGUAUUAAUUUCUUACUAAUAGAAUUUCUCAAAUUUCAUAUAUUGUGAUAUUUUUGCAAUUAUAUAGACCUUAUGGUUGUACAAAUUUUAUUUACUAUGAUAUUGAUGUAGUCAUAUAGACCUUAUA